GGACUAUGUGCUUUGGUCCUCUGUGAUUCAGAGUCCAUCUGGAAUCUCUUCAUGGCCGCUGCCUCGCUGGCACGGGCUUUGGACUGAAGCAAGCUUAGGACAAGUUUGGGUUCUAGAGAGCGGCAAGCAGAGUAUCUGUUCGGACAUCCCUUGCUGAUGUAAGUUUCCAAGACCCUGAACUAAGUCUGAUGUCCCUAGAUCAAAGCAUCCAAAAGGCCGUAUGUUGCCAAGAGCGACAUGAGCUAAUGAAAAGCCCUCGGCUCUGAGAGGAUCUGCAGGCUUCCUGAUUGACACUGACCCACUGUAGCCCUGUUUCUCAUUUCGUGGUUAAAAACAAAAAGUAAUUGAGAGGUGUUUUAGAUGUGACUGCCAGACUCCUGCUGGUCUCAGGUCCAGAGCCCUGGCCGCACCCCCCCCCCCUUCCUCAACCAACGUCUUACCAGUCUUCCUCAACCAACGUCAACUCCCAGGGCUGACACCUUGGAACAUGGCCUCUCUCAAGCCUCAAGCC
rnacentral:lncRNA from 1 species